rnacentral:tRNA from 1 species
CCCAGAAAAUAGUUUUAAUUUUAAGAAUUCUGGCUUUGGGAGCCAGGGGUGGGAGUUGAAGUCUCCUUUUUCU